CGUACACUCCUGCGGGAGGCAGCAGUGGGGAAUAUUGCACAAUGGGCGCAAGCCUGAUGCAGCGACGCCGCGUGGGGGAUGAAGGCCUUCGGGUUGUAAACUCCUUUCGCUAGGGACGAAGCUUUUUUGUGACGGUACCUAGAUAAGAAGCACCGGCUAACUACGUGCCAGCAGCCGCGGUAAUACGUAGGGUGCGAGCGUUGUCCGGAAUUACUGGGCGUAAAGGGCUCGUAGGUGGUUUGUCGCGUCGUCUGUGAAAUUCUGGGGCUUAACUCCGGGCGUGCAGGCGAUACGGGCAUAACUUGAGUGCUGUAGGGGUAACUGGAAUUCCUGGUGUAGCGGUGAAAUGCGCAGAUAUCAGGAGGAACACCGAUGGCGAAGGCAGGUUACUGGGCAGUUACUGACGCUGAGGAGCGAAAGCAUGGGUAGCGAACAGGAUUAGAAACCCGGGUAGUCCCAUGA
rnacentral:rRNA from 1 species